AUUGAACGCUGGCGGCAUGCUUUACACAUGCAAGUCGAACGAGUGGCGAACGGGUGAGUAAUAUAUAGGAACGUACAGAGUAAUGGGGGAUAACCAAACGAAAGAUUGGCUAAUACCGCAUGUUAUUCGAGCGGCCGCGAACUGAUUAGCUAGGUGGUGGGGUAAAGGCCUAACAAGGCGACGAUCAGUAGCGGGUCUGGGAGGACGAUCCGCCACACUGGGACUGAGACACGGCCCAGACUCCUACGGGAGGCAGCAGUGGGGAAUUUUGGACAAUGGGGGCAACCCUGAUCCAGCCAUGCCGCGUGUAUGAAGAAGGCCUUCGGGUUGUAAAGUACUUUUGUUAGGGAAGCGGUACCUAAAGAAUAAGCACCGGCUAACUCCGUGCCAGCAGCCGCGGUAAUUC
rnacentral:rRNA from 1 species